rnacentral:lncRNA from 1 species
AUGGACACCAACCCUUAAGACGCCUUAAUAGUUUAUACUCAAUUUAGACUUCAUCAUCUCAAUUGCAACACCUUAUAUGAAAGAAACAUUGGAGAUCAUCUAGAGCACAACACCUCGUAUGAAAAAAGAAACAAAAUCUUGAGAGUUUUCAGAGGUCUAGAGACAAAAUGGAGUGAUACUUGGUGGUUUAUCAUUGGUUGUAGCUGUAACAGUAGUGGGGAUUUUGCAACAGGAUUUUCAAGAAAAGUGGAUUACUUGGUGGAAUUUUUGGACUCGACAAGCUCAAUUUCAAAGAAGAGAGAAUAAAGAAAGAAGAAUAUGUAAAGGGAGGCAGGGAUGCAACCAAAACAUAAUCAAUCAUGGAGAUAUAAAUGAAGGGAAACAGUAAUGGCGUGAAAAAAUUUAACCAGAACUUAAGUGAAUAAUUAACAAUUUCAUGAGAACUUAAAGAACUUUUUUUACUAAAUAAUUUAAAUUUUAUUUUGAUAAAAAAUAUUUUAUAUUUAUUAAAUUUUUUAGGGUUUCAAACGUUAGAAAAUUUAAAAAUAUUUUAUAUUUUUAUUAUAUUUUAAUUUUUUAAAAAUAUUUUAUCCAAAAGAAAGCCGCAGAAUUGAAACUUUUUUCAGUACAAACUGCUUAAUUUGAUUUUUAUUGUUAAAUAAUUUUAAUUUUUAGUUCGAUUUAAUUUUUUAAUAAAAAAUAAUUAUAAAAAAAAAAAACUACGCCAAUGGAUUUGUAAAACUAUGUGGUAUUUUCCUACCUAUAUAUAUGAAUGAACUGAAGUUUAAAAGGCCGCUACCUUAUCACAGAAGACAAAAUCACGCUCUCCUCUGCUUCUCUUUCUUUUCUUUGUCUGAGCCUCUGCUUCUCUUAAACCCAACCAUCCAUUCUCAGUUUUUCACUCAUGCCGGUUCUUGCCAUCGCUUCUUCUCCUUCCUAUUGUUUAAUUCUCCUUCUGCCUUUCAGAUAUAUAUUUGGUUAUGUCAUUCUGAAAGGGAUUUGAGGAAGGGGAGCAUAUCCAGCCUUAUUUCUUCUUCCCUUGAACCGUUGGUGCUUCUUCUCCUUCUAAGAGCAAGUGAUCGCGUCGAGAGCACUAAUCAAGAAAGAUUGAGCUCAACAUUACCACUUCUAUAAGCCAUGGAUUUAGGUUAAUUUGUCUGGCGAUGGCUUAUGGAUGUAGAUUUGUUGUAUUUGUAAAAGGUAUGCUUCCUCGAUGCUUGCAUAGCCGCUCACUAUUUAUAUUAUUCACAUUCAUUUGAGAGCUGUAAAUAUUUACUCCAUUUAUAAUAAUUAAAUUUUUAAUUUUAUAAGAACAAAAAGAAUAUUAAAUAACUUAUUUAAUACUCAUUGCUCAUAAUAUUUUUUAUUUUAAAAUAUUGCUUCUGCAUGCAUAUGUGUUUGGAUGAAUUUGAGAAUUUGAGGUUCCGAAAGCUGUUGGCUACAAACAAAUGAGUUUAUUCAAUUAAUUUAAUUCAAUUUUUUCUUUAAUUGAAUUCAAUUUUCAUUAGUCUUUUAAAUAAUUUUAAUUGCAUUCAAAAUUAAAUAUUUUAACCUCAUUCAUGUAAAUUUAAAAUAUUAAAAAUUAAAUAAAAUUUAUUUAUUUGUCUUAAAUUUAUUAAAAAUUAAAUUUAGACAAUAAUGGCUGAUUGUACGGAGUAGUCCGUGGCUAUAUUCGAAUACGACUCUCUUACACUGAAAGGUUUUAAUUAUUGUGUUGAUUGUCUGAUUUUGGUUCUGAGACUAUACCUUUACAGGUAAGAUGAUGACAAGCCUUCUCCAUCUUUUGACAUUAAGUUGUGUGCUGUCACCACUAACUUCUCUUAGUUGACUAUGACGUUCAUGGCCCCUAGUUUUUGGCAGAUGCUGCACACUCUAGAAGAUUAACAAAACACAUUUUAUUUUGUAUGGAAA